rnacentral:rRNA from 1 species
GGAGCGCUAGCAUACGUGGGGGCGCUGGUGGGAUACUACCCUAGCUGUGGUGGCUUUCUAACCCGAGCCACUUAUCGUGGUGGGAGACAGUGUCAGGCGGGCAGUUUGACUGGGGCGGUCGCCUCCUAAAAGGUAACGGAGGCGCUCAAAGGUUCCCUCAGAAUGGUUGGAAAUCAUUCAUAGAGUGUAAAGGCAUAAGGGAGCUUGACUGCGAGACCUACAAGUCGAGCAGGGUCGAAAGACGGACUUAGUGAUCCGGUGGUUCCGCAUGGAAGGGCCAUCGCUCAACGGAUAAAAGGUACUCCGGGGAUAACAGGCUGAUACCGCCCAAGAGUUCAUAUCGACGGCGGUGUUUGGCACCUCGAUGUCGGCUCAUCACAUCCUGGGGCUGAAGUAGGUCCCAAGGGUAUGGCUGUUCGCCAUUUAAAGUGGUACGCGAGCUGGGUUUAGAACGUCGUGAGACAGUUCGGUCCCUAUCUGCCGUGGGCGCUGGAGAACUGAGGGGGGCUGCUCCUAGUACGAGAGGACCGGAGUGGACGCAUCACUGGUGUUCGGGUUGUCAUGCCAAUGGCACUGCCCGGUAGCUAAAUGCGGAAGAGAUAAGUGCUGAAAGCAUCUAAGCACGAAACUUGCCCCGAGAUGAGUUCUCCCUGAGACUUAGAGUCUCCUGAAGGAACGUUGAAGACGACGACGUUGAUAGGCCGGGUGUGUAAGCGCAGCGAUGCGUUGAGCUAACCGGUACUAAUGAACCGUGAGGCUUAACCUUACAACGCCGAAGCUGUU